GAUUAGCCUUCUUUGUGUAGGUGUGGCUGGAUCCAAUAAUCAGAGAUGGGGCCACGUAUGUACAGUGAACGUGAACAGAGGAACAGUGGCAGUAGCAGCGAGUCUGUGUCUGUGGCUACUGCUGUCCGUGAGUACUUGCUGUCACUGCCCAGUGCCCCUUCGCCUCUGUCAAGGGUGGAAUACAUGGAAGGUUGACGUUCGUGGUAGGACUGUCACAACAGUGGUCAGCAGUAUUCCUCAGUGUUCCUCAGUGUCAUGUCCUGUCCAGAUCUACAUUUUUGCUAAU